UCCAUGUUCUACACCAUAUGGUUCUUUCUCUGUGAUUUGUUUUUCAGAAUGAACGUUUGCAUGUGCAUCUUAUUGUAAUACGUUUUGUGUUUUCAUAUUUAUGUUCUAGUAAGUAGUAAAAAAUGUAAGCGUAUAAAGUCCGUCUUCGGACGCGUUCCAGGCCGACUACAUUGCAGACGUUGCAUUGCAUCAAUGGUCAUUUGCGAUGUAGCCAGCCUGUAACGUGCCCACUGUCUUAUUUUCCCCUUAGGUGGUUACUGGCUCCAAAAGUGGCAACGUCAACCUGUCAAUAGGCAAAAUGGGUGGCGGCAGCGUCCCCCUAGGGAGUGAUGCACCCUGGGAAACACCUCUGAGAUGUGAGAUUAGUGAGCUGUUCCAAUUAGAUCUGCUUCAGAUAUGAAUCGGAACAGGUGACUAUGUCUGUACCCAGUUUCGCACUCGUGGUUGGACUUCUAACGUUUGGGCCGAUUGGUGUCCAGGGAAGCCGCAUAGUCACUCUGAAGGUGGCGGUGACAUAUGGCCCUGACAUCACAGUCACAUGGGAUGGUGGUGGUGGCUUGAUUACCCAGUGUGCACUGCUCGUGGCUGUGGAAGGGGGACAGAAGGUGGACAUCUUUCUUCUGCCAAGCUCGGGCUCCUUCCUUUUUCUGAACCUUACUGAGGUCACCCACUCAUUCCAAUGUACCUGCUUUGACCAAUCAGAGGGAGUCUACAAGUCACAGAGCAUCAGUGUCGUACCUGGUUCACCAACUACCCCUCCACCAUCAACCACCAACCAGGUGACCAUGCUGGAAAGCCAUGCAAAUCAGAACAACACUGACUCUGUAACAGCGGGUGUUUUUGGGACCAUCGGCGGAGGCCUACUCCUCUUCAUCAUCUAUGGCUUCUGCAGGAAAUGGCUGGGAGAUGAGAGACUGAGAGCCAUCUUCAGGUUUCCUCGCCUUAACCGAGUGGUAAUUUAUCAGAUGUUCGACCACUGAUCAUCAUCAACCAGACGGUACUUUCUAGCAGGGUGCUCUGCCUGAAUGUGUCGCUCAGGAUAAGAGCUUUGGCUAAAUGACCAAAAUGGAAAAUGUACUGUAUGUAUUAAUGAACAAGGAAACCAUGUUCGGCUGUGAUCAGACCUGCUUUGAAACUGUUCCUAGGCCAUCAUUGAAAAUAAGAAUUUGUUCUUAACUGACUUGCCUAGAUAAAUUAAAAUAAAAACAAAAACAGGAAGAUGUAGAAGAAAUCAUCUU
rnacentral:lncRNA from 1 species